UACGUAGGGGGCUAGCGUUGUCCGGAAUCAUUGGGCGUAAAGAGCGUGUAGGCGGCUCGGUAAGUCCGCUGUGAAAGUCCAGGGCUCAACCCUGGAAUGCCAGUGGAAACUGUCGAGCUAGAGUCCGGAAGAGGCGAGUGGAAUUCCUGGUGUAGCGGUGAAAUGCGUAGAUAUCAGGAGGAACACCUGCGGUGUAGACGGCUUACUGGACGGUAACUGACGCUGAGGCACGAAAGCGUGGGUAGCAAACAGG
rnacentral:rRNA from 1 species